AGAGACUGCUUCUAGAGAAUUGUGAACCUCUUGUGGACUGUUUGGUAGAGCACAGGUGAUAGCGUCAGAUUAACGAAAAUGUUUUGACGAUGAGAAGAAGGGAAAUUAUCUCAGAGGAAGACAUGGAAAGAUUUCUUGGUUGUAACGAGAAUAUGCAUGGUAGCCCCCCAAACACCCAUGAAGGUUUGAGGUAGAAAUAGUAUAUGUAAAGAGACUUACUCGAAUUUCCCGAUUUUUUUAGUGACGUUGAAGACGACAAGAUCUGGAUAGGAGUUGAUGUCAAACGUGAACUGUACAAUAAACCUCAUGAGCUUUUGAAGACUGAAGAACUCUACGAACAAACUGUGGGUAAAGAUAAGAUAACAAUCAUAAGCUCAUAACUCCAUGAGCUUCUGCACGCUGAAGAACUCUACGAACAAACUGUGGGUAAAGAUAAGAUAACAAUCAUAAGCUCAUAACUCCAUGAGCUUCUGCACACUGAAGAACUCUACGAACAAACUGUGGGGUAUAUAAAGGAUGGGCAUAAAUUGGCAUCAAAUAAAGCUAGAUUAGCUUCCCGCCAGUUCUAAACUGAGUUAUCAUUAUUUAAAUAACAGAUUAUCUGUACUUUGUGCAAAUGAAGAUUUGUAUAUUGAUUUUUAUUGCGUUGUUACAGUGUAAAUAGUUACACUUAUUCAAUCAUUUCAUUUUGUCACUACUAGCUAUUAUUGUUUACGUAGGGUUUUAUAGCCUGCGUUAUGUGUAAACCUUAUCUUAAAGGAGGAUCGUCACGUUAACUCGCAAGACGGGAAGCCUGUGUACUAUUUCUCAAAAUAGCCAAUCAGAGACGUCCAUUAUACGGAGAUUGCAAGAGAAUCGCGCUAGCUAAUCGUACUGUUUGUUAUGACUCAAACCCUCUGAAAAACCUCUUAUUUCUCGUUUAAAUAAGCGUCUAUAUGUUUUCAAGGCUUGGGUAGGUCCCUGGAAGGCAUAUCCAAGACUCUGGGGGCAAUGUCGUGCUUCGUAUUCGAUGUUUAUUUCGAUGUAAAUUCCGGAGUUACGCUUCGGAGAUUUGCGUGGCUGAACAAAUAAAUUACACUUCCCUCAAACUAACAAAAUAUGUCUAACUUUGCUGGCUAUUUUUCCAAGGUGGCGACUGUAACUGUAUAGGAAUAAGCAUAGUGCACCAAUAGCAAAAAUAUCCGAGAUAAAGAGGAUAUAAGGGAGAAAGAAAACGCAAUACUCGAACGGAGAGAAUGACGUCAAGUUGUUUACCUUUGCAAAAAAUAAACCUUGCACUAAAAGUCCUACCAAUUAUAUUAUUUAUGUCAGCAUUGAAUGUCCGAUUACCCUUCUAACAAAGAUACUGAUUACUCGCUUCGAUCCAAAUUCGGGCCUGAUUUGACUUCCAAUAGUGAUCGCUGGACCUCCGCUCGCUUGCUAAACUCACGAACGACUCCAAAUUUCAUCUCACUGAUUUUUAAAUCAGAAAACGAAUAUCCUUGAAAAUAAAACGCUAGCUAGUAAGAAAAAGACAUUGUUCGUAACAGAAACUUGGAUUUAGCUUUCGGAUAGGCAGUAAAAUAAAAAUAAUUUUGAAGAUUUAUCAACGGUACUUUUCCCCCUUCUCAGAGAUCGAUCCGUGCUAUCCGUUUCGGAAGGCUAGAGAAGGCGUGACGCUCUUCCUUUAAUUGAAUUGAAUUCAGCAAGAGAAAAAAGAACUAGGCCAAAAACCAAACAAAAACCAAAUGGAAAGUAAAAAGGCUCAUAGCUCAAUCUUACAGCUGCAUCUUGCUCCAUUGAAUAUAUUUGAAUUGGGGAGCAACCAAGUCUAUACACCUCUAUUAUACAAGCCUUCUGUAAUUUGGAAGGCGAGAUAAGGCUCA